UAACUUUUGUUUUAAAGUGAAGUCGUCAUGCAGCGAGAGGCUCAGGAAUUGUACAAGAGAGGAGAUGUAACUUUAACUUUCCAUAACCAUCAUGAGUCUG